GGGACCGACGGUAAUAGGGGGAGUUACGAUAUAAAGAUCCCCCCCCACGAAGCUUCUUUGAUGAUCACCCUUUGAAAAGAAAUGAGGAAAGAAGAAUUUUCCCUUGCAUUUUGUAUGGUACUGGAAUCCUGACUGGUUUUUGUUGUACCCCGAACAAACCCUGUUUGCCUUGCCCUGGAACCCUUGGAUUUACCCUCUGGAUUUCCCUCAUCAUCCUGGAUUUGGAUUCAUCAUCAUCUACAUCAAUUUGCCCCUUCCUUUUGGACUGCUGGUUAGGCUACAUAUCAUCAUCAGAGGCGGACAGAGUACACAGCUUCAUUACUUGAGUAAAAGUACAGAUACCCUUUGCUAAAUUUGACUCAAGUACAAGUAAAAGUACAACAGUCAGA